UAUCUUGCUCCCCAUUGAUUUUUUUUUUGUUUACUCUGUAACAAUUCAAUCUAAGGGGAGCCUCAGAGUAACGGUAUAGUUGGUUCCAUGCUGGUUCGAGCCCAUUGAUGGUUGCAUCAGGAUAGGUCGCACACAUUAUAUUCCCUUGGAUCCCCAAGUCCCGUGUGAUCACCGAAUGUGUUAUAUACUGUGCUGUCCUUUCUUCUGUAACAAUUCAAUGGAUA
rnacentral:misc_RNA from 1 species